CAUACCAAAUGCUAUGAAGAAAAUCAAGUCCGUCCCAGCUGAAACCAGAAUCCAUGGGUACCAAAGAGGAGGACGAAGGUCUACUGCACUGAUAGAACUGCACCAUUCAUACUGGCUGCUGGCUUGGAGAGUGGGGGAGUUGACAUAGUCAACUGCUGAAUAUGUCUGAGACGUCUUCUACAAACAGCAUAUGGAUUCUUCUCCUCAUUUCCUCUCCCUGCUUGACUAAUUAAGUGUGGACAGGAGGUUCUUCUAGAGUUUUAGAAGCUGGAUAAUGCUUUAUGUUCUUCUGCCUGCGACAUGGAUCUUGGCAGAACAUCAUGGGAAGAGAAGAUCUAUUACAAGCAUACACUGAAUUGUGAGUUUAUCCCACGUGAAAAGGUUACUUCAAUGACAUUUGUGAGUAGGAACAAAACUAAAGAAAGAACAUGUUAGAGGUACAGCUCAUGAUAACAAGCAGUAUUUUUGCAGAUAUGCAGGAUCUAAGUGAUAGCUACUCACUUGGAGCUGAGCCACACUGGCCUAAUGGAUGUCUUAUUCCAUAUGGUGUCAUACUCAGCAAUAAGACUGGACAAGUUGGCUGUGGGGACUGCUGCUGGUUGGGGACUGGCUGGGCAUUGGCUGGUGGGUGGUGAGCAAUUGCAUCACUUGGUUUAUGUGCUUGUUUAUCACUGUUAUAAUUAUUUUCCCUUUUUCUGUCCUAUUAAACUGUCUUUAUCUCAACCCAUGAGUUUUACCAUUUUCUGAUUCUCUGAGCAAACCCACUGAGGGGAGCAGUGAGUGAAUGAAUGUGUGAUACUGAGCUGCCUUCUGGGUUAAACCAUGGCAAU